AUUCCAGCUCCAAUAGCGUAUACUAAAGUUGUUGCGGUUAAAAAGCUCGUAGUUGGAUCUUGGAAUGUGUUCAAGCGGGUCAGCUUCUGGCUGUUCGCUGCUUGACGUGUUCUUCUAUUUGGUUUUGGUGCGGUGCGCUUAACUGCGUGUCGCUCCCGGCCGAAACGUUUACCUUGAAAAAAUUAGAGUGUUCAAAGCAGACCUGUUUGAGUCUGAAUAUUCGUGCAUGGAAUAAUGAAAUAUGAAUUCGGUUCUAUUUUGUUGGUUUUCGGAACUCGAGUUAAUGAUCAAGAGGGACAGACGGGGGCAUUCGUACUCUGCCGUUAGAGGUGAAAUUCUUGGAUCGGCGGAAGACGCGCAACUGCGAAAGCAUUUGCCAAGAAUGUUUUCAUUA
rnacentral:rRNA from 1 species